rnacentral:rRNA from 1 species
AUUGAACGCUGGCGGCAUGCCUAACACAUGCAAGUCGAACGUGAAAGAGGGGCAACUCUCGAGUAAAGUGGCGGACGGGUGAGUAAUACGUAGGAAUCUGCCCUAUAGUGGGGGAUAACCUGCCGAAAGGCGGGCUAAUACCGCAUAAUCUCUACGGAGAAAAGGGGGCUAGCAAUAGCUUUCGCUUUAGGAUGAGCCUACGUCGGAUUAGCUAGUUGGUGGGGUAAAGGCCUACCAAGGCAACGAUCCGUAGCUGGUCUGAGAGGACGACCAGCCACACUGGAACUGAGACACGGUCCAGACUCCUACGGGAGGCAGCAGUGGGGAAUAUUGGACAAUGGGGGAAACCCUGAUCCAGCAAUGCCGUGUGUGCGAUGAAGGCCUGCGGGUUGUAAAGCACUUUCGGUGGUGAAGAAACUCUCAAAUAUAAUACAUUUGAGGGCUGACAUUAUCCACAGAAGAAGCACCGGCAAACUCUGUGCCAGCAGCCGCAGUAAUAC